rnacentral:rRNA from 1 species
GACGAACCGUGCGAACGUUGUUCGGAAUCACUGGGCAUAAAGGGCGCGUAGGCGGCUUUUCAAGUCAGGGGUGAAAUCCGGCAGCUCAACUGUCAAAGUGCCCUUGAUACUGAUGAGCUCGAGGGAGGUAGGGGUGUGUGGAACUUCCGGUGGAGCGGUGAAAUGCGCUGAUAUCGGAAGGAACGCCGGUGGCGAAAGCGACGCACUGGACCUCUUCUGACGCUGAGGCGCGAAAGCUAGGGGAGCAAACGGG